rnacentral:rRNA from 1 species
CUAGCCCUGAAAAUGGAUGGCGCUGUAGCGUCGUGCCUAUACUCGGCCGUCAACGGCACAGGGGGCGGCACCCUCGCGGGUGCCGGGCCGUUAUGCCUUGACGAGUAGGAGGGUCGCGGCGGUGUGCGCAGAAGGGUCUGGGCGUGAGCCUGCCUGGAGCCACCGUCGGCGCAGAUCUUGGUGGUAGUAGCAAAUACUCCAGCGAGGACCUGGAGGACUGACGUGGAGAAGGGUUUCUUGUGAACAGCUGUUGCACAAGAGUCAGUCGAUCCUAAGCCCUAGGAGAAAUCCUAUGUCGAUGGGAAGCCGUUGAAGAUGGAAGGCGCUAUUUGCGCUCUUGUCAUUUGAAGGCGACCCACGGGGCGAAAGGGAAUCCGGUUCCUAUUCCGGAACCCGGCUGCGGAACCGUUCAUAAGCGGGCCCUCAUCCGAGAGCUCGACGGGGCAACCCGAAGAGACCCGGAGACGCCGGCGGGAGGUCCGGAGAGAGUUUUCUUUUCUCUAUAAGCGUUCGAGUUCCCUGGAAGCCUAUAGCAGGGAGAUAGGGUUUGGAACGCGAAGAGCACCGCAGUUGCGGCGGUGUCCGGAUCUUCCCCUCGGACCUUGAAAAUCCGGGAGAGGGCUACGCGGAAUGUCCGCGCCGGAUCGUACCCAUAUCCGCAGCAGGUCUCCAAGGUUAAGAGCCUCUAGUCGAUAGAAUAAUGUAGGUAAGGGAAGUCGGCAAGCCGGAUCCGAACCUUCGGAAGGAGGGUUGGCUCUGAGGAUCGGGGCGUGUCGGGCUUGGUGGGGAAGCGGGUCCGUGCUAACGUGCCGGGCCUGGGCGAGGCGAAACGGCGUAUCGGGGGAGCGAUCCUUCGGGUCUCCGGGAUCCGAGCUCGGUCUCGUGCCUUGGCCUCCCGCGGAUCUUCCUUGCUGCGGGGUGUCUGCUGUUCUAGACGCGGUCCGGGCUCUUGUCCGCCCGUGGUCGGGCCGAACUUGUCCCUUCGGCCGCCAUUCAACGAUCAACUCAGAACUGGCAC